UAAUUACCUAAUGUUUUCCAAUGCAAAACGAAAGCACGUAAACGUCUACCACAUCCUAUUCUUUCUCCAUUAACUUAUCUCCAUUAUUAGUUUCCUUCCUAUUACAGGACACCAUCUCCACUUCCUCAAGAUCAAUGUCACCCAAAUCAAAUCCUAAAUCAUCACCAUCGCAUCCUCCUAGAAAACCUUAUUUCCUUCUAUUAGUUUAUGCUUCCAUCGUCUUCGCACAUAUCAAGCCCUCCACCACUUUUUGUUCAUCUUCUUGUUCAGAAAGAACCCAUGCAUACACACUCCACAUACGAACAUAAUCGAUGAUGAACACACACUCCAUAAUCGAUUUGUAAGUGUGUGGUUGAAUACUCCACCCAACAACACCAGUUUCACCGAUGAACUCCAUCGCCAGCCACCUUCAUCCACCACAACCCUUACCGGAAACAUCAUCGUUAUCUCCCUCGCUUCACCAAACUAAAUCAACCCAAAUGUGUCAAACAUCACUACAUCUCCCACUCAAGAACACACAACCACCACAUCAACGCCUGAGAAUGCCCGUGAGCCGCCGAGAAGAAACCCACUCGCCGGACGUUAUCUGAUUAACUACAUCACUACAUCUCCUACUUACUUCCUCUGAUUUUGAUCGAGAAUUGAUUUCUGGAACCAUUUUGGAUUUCAAUCAAAAAUUGAUUUCCGAAACAACUGUCCCUGCGAUCUACAACUCGACGAAGAUGAUGGUUGAGCCGCCCAUCUCUCUCCUUCUCUGGCGAUGUUGUUCCUACUCUCUGAUGGCGGCGACACUUAGGGUUUCAAACGAUAGUUUCAGAUCCGUCGCCGUUCAGGGUUUCAAGCGAUGGCGGCGACAACAAAGAGGAAGAUGGAUGGUCGAUGUGUCUCCAACCUCCUGAGAAUCGACGAGCACCACCGACGACACAUCACAACUUCAGAUCCAAAGUUUUUUUUUUUUUUUUUUUUGCUGAAUGUGACUUGAUGUUGAUUUUAGGAUUUAAAGUUUUUUUUUGUUUUUUUGUUUUCUUUGGUGUGUAUGUAUGAGAGAUAAGAGAGAGAUAAACAUAGAAUAAAUGGUGGUGGUGGUGGCGGAGAGUGGUGGUCGAUGGUGGUGGGUCAUUAUUUAUUUGUGUGUGAAAGAAGAAAGGAUGAGAGGAAGAAGAUGAUGGUGGGAGAUUGUAUUCUUUACACACACACACACACAGAGAGACAGAGACAGAGACAGAGACAGAGACAGAGAGAGAGAGAGAGAGAGAGAGAGAGAGAGAGAGAGAUUUAAUUUUUAUUUUUUUAAA